UUCUCUAAAGAUAAUGUAUGAGGCUGCUGCCUCUGAUUCCGCUGCUGCCAGCCUGAGAUCGCCUGGAGGUCUUCUUUCUGGGUGAUGCUGUGACAGAAGAAACUGCUGCCCUGGAUGUAACUGAAGCCGACACAGCUGCUGACCCCCGGAGAUCACCUGGUAAUGCUGCCCCCACAGCUACAGUUCCUGCUGCCACUGCAGCCACCACUACUGCUGACCCACUGCCUACUGCCAACAACUACUGCCACUACUGCUGCCACCAUGGCCUAGAGGACUUCUUCCAAGGAGACUCCAGCUUUGGUUGCACAUGGCUGCACCCAUUUUGGAACAGCAUCCAGGCCUGGGACCUUAGUAACUACAGGUUUACCACCACAACAGCCUCUGUCUGGGGUCUCCAGCUGGACCUGCAGGCCUGGUGCCCAGGACCCUCCUUUAAACUAUCAUCCUUAUACAUAAGGUCUUCUGAUUCCUGGAACCUGUGACUGCCUCUGACUUGAUUUCAAAUAUUUGGAUGCAUCAUAUGCUCUAGUAUCUUUCUGUGAAAGUGAAAAAGGGGAAUAAAUUUUGUACAAAGCAUGGAUCUAAA
rnacentral:lncRNA from 1 species